rnacentral:rRNA from 1 species
CCUAACGGUUAAUACCCGUUAGCGAUGACAUUAGCUGCAGAAUAAGCACCGGCUAACUCUGUGCCAGCAGCCGCGGUAAUACAGAGGGUGCAAGCGUUAAUCGGAAUUACUGGGCGUAAAGCGAGCGUAGGUGGCUUGAUAAGUCAGAUGUGAAAUCCCCGGGCUUAACCUGGGAACUGCAUCUGAUACUGUUAGGCUAGAAUAGGUGAGAGGAAGGUAGAAUUCCAGGUGUAGCGGUGAAAUGCGUAGAGAUCUGGAGGAAUACCGAUGGCGAAGGCAGCCUUCUGGCGUCAUACUGACACUGAGGCUCGAAAGCGUGGGUAGCAAACAGGAUUAGAUACCCUGGUAGUCCACGCCGUAAACGAUGUC